GAUUUANUGGGCGUAAAGCGAGCGCAGGCGNUUAGAUAAGUCUGAAGUUAAAGGCUGUGGNUUAACCAUAGUACGCUUUGGAAACUGUUUAACUUGAGUGCAGAAGGGGAGAGUGGAAUUCCAUGUGUAGCGGUGAAAUGCGUAGAUAUAUGGAGGAACACCGGUGGCGAAAGCGGCUCUCUGGUCUGUAACUGACGCUGAGGCUCGAAAGCGUGGGGAGCGAACAGGAUUAGAUACCCUGGUAGUNCACGCCGUAAACGAUGAGUGCUAGGUGUUAGGCCCUUCCGGGGCUUAGUGCCGCAGCUAACGCAUUAAGCACUCCGCCUGGGGAGUACGACCGCAAGGUUGAAACUCAAAGGAAUUGACGGGGGCCCGCACAAGCGGUGGAGCAUGUGGUUUAAUUCGAAGCAACGCGAAGAACCUUACCAGGUCUUGACAUCCCGAUGCCCGCUCUAGAGAUAGAGUUUUACUUCGGUACAUCGGUGUCAGGUGGUGCAUGGUUGUCGUCAGCUCGUGUCGUGAGAUGUUGGGUUAAGUCCCGCAACGAGCGCAACCCUUAUUGUUAGUUGCCAUCAUUCAGUUGGGCACUCUAGCGAGACUGCCGGUAAUAAACCGGAGGAAGGUGGGGAUGACGUCAAAUCAUCAUGCCCCUUAUGACCUGGGCUACACACGUGCUACAAUGGCUGGUACAACGAGUCGC
rnacentral:rRNA from 1 species